rnacentral:tRNA from 1 species
AAUACUGUUGGCGUAGCUGGUAACGCACUAGAUUCUCAAUCUGGGGACCGCGGGUUCAAUUCCCGCAUGGUA